AUGGCUGUCGUCAGCUCGUGUCGUGAGAUGUUCGGUUAAGUCCGCUAACGAGCGCAACCCUCGUCGUAUGUUAUAUGUGUCAUACGAGACUGCCGGUAAGAAGCCGGAGGAAGGUGAGGAUGAUGUCAAGUCAGCAUGACCUUUAUAUCCCAGGGCUACACACACGCUACAAUGGUCUGUACAAUGGGUAGCCAAGCCGCGAGGCGGAGCCAAUCCUGAAAGCAGGCCUCAGUUCAGAUUGCAGUCUGCAACUCGACUGCAUGAAGCCGGAGUUGCUAGUGACCGCAGGUCAGCAAUACUGCGGUGAAUACGUUCCCGGGUCUU
rnacentral:rRNA from 1 species